GACGAACGCUGGCGGCGUGCUUAACACAUGCAAGUCGAACGGAAAGGCCCUGCUUGUGUGGGGUGCUCGAGUGGCGAACGGGUGAGUAACACGUGAGUAACCUGCCCUUGACUUUGGGAUAACUUCAGGAAACUGGGGCUAAUACCGGAUAGGAGCUCCUGCUGCAUGGUGGGGGUUGGAAAGUUUCGGCGGUUGGGGAUGGACUCGCGGCUUAUCAGCUGGUUGGUGGGGUAGUGGCUUACCAAGGCUUUGACGGGUAGCCGGCCUGAGAGGGUGACCGGCCACAUUGGGACUGAGAUACGGCCCAGUCUCCUACGGGAGGCAGCAGUGGGGAAUAUUGCACAAUGGGCGGAAGCCUGAUGCAGCAACGCCGCGUGCGGGAUGACGGCCUUCGGGUUGUAAACCGCUUUCGCCUGUGACGAAGCGUGAGUGACGGUAAUGGGUAAAGAAGCACCGGCUAACUACGUG
rnacentral:rRNA from 1 species